GAUGAACGCUGGCGGCGUGCCUAAUACAUGCAAGCCGAGCGAACAGAUAAGGAGCUUGCUCCUUUGACGUUAGCGGCGGACGGGUGAGUAACACGUGGGUAACCUACCUAUAAGACUGGGAUAACUUCGGGAAACCGGAGCUAAUACCGGAUAAUAUUUCGAACCGCAUGGUUCGAUAGUGGAAGAUGGUUUUGCUAUCACUUAUAGAUGGACCCGCGCCGUAUUAGCUAGUUGGUAAGGUAACGGCUUACCAAGGCGACGAUACGUAGCCGACCUGAGAGGGUGAUCGGCCACACUGGAACUGAGACACGGUCCAGACUCCUACGGGAGGCAGCAGUAGGGAAUCUUCCGCAAUGGGCGAAAGCCUGACGGAGCAACGCCGCGUGAGUGAUGAAGGUCUUCGGAUCGUAAAACUCUGUUAUUAGGGAAGAACAUACGUGUAAGUAACUGUGCACGUCUUGACGGUACCUAAUCAGAAAGCCACGGCUAACUACGUG
rnacentral:rRNA from 1 species